rnacentral:rRNA from 1 species
ACGGCUCAGUAACACGUGGACAACCUACCCUCCGGACGGGUAUAAACCCGGGAAACUGGGUAUAAUCCCCGAUAGAUCUCGGUCGCUGGAAAGCCCCGAGAUCGAAAGCUCCGGCGCCAGAGGAUGGGUCUGCGGCCUAUCAGGUAGUAGUGGGUGUAGCGUACCUACUAGCCUACGACGGGUACGGGUUGUGAGAGCAAGAGCCCGGAGAUGGAUUCUGAGACACGAAUCCAGGCCCUACGGGGUGCAGCAGGCGCGAAAACUUUACAAUGCCGGCAACGGCGAUAAGGGGACCUCGAGUGCCAGGUUACAAAUCUGGCUGUCGUGAUGCCUAAAAAGCAUUGCAUAGCAAGGGCCGGGCAAGACCGGUGCCAGCCGCCGCGGUAACACCGGCGGCUCGAGUGGUAACCGUUAUUAUUGGGUCUAAAGGGUCUGUAGCCGGCCGGAUAAGUCUCUUGAGAAAUCCAGCAGCUCAACUGUUGGGCUUUCAGGAGAUACUGUCUGGCUCGAGGCCGGGAGAGGUGAGAGGUACUUCAGGGGUAGGGGUGAAAUCUUGUAAUCCUUGAAGGACCACCAGUGGCGAAGGCGUCUCACCAGAACGGACCUGACGGCAAGGGACGAAAGCUAGGGGCACGAACCGGAUUAGAUACCCGGGUAGUCCUAGCCGUAAACGAUACUCGCUAGGUGUCGGCCACGGUGCGACCGUUGUCGGUGCCGUAGGGAAGCCGUGAAGCGAGCCACCUGGGAAGUACGGCCGCAAGGCUGAAACUUAAAGGAAUUGGCGGGGGAGCAC